rnacentral:rRNA from 1 species
GACGAACGCUGGCGGCGUGCUUAACACAUGCAAGUCGAGCGGUAAGGCCCUUUCGGGGGUACACGAGCGGCGAACGGGUGAGUAACACGUGGGUGACCUGCCCUCAGCUCUGGGAUAAGCCUGGGAAACCGGGUCUAAUACUGGAUAUGACUCCAUGACGCAUGUUGUGGGGUGGAAAGCCUUGUGCGGCUGAGGAUGGGCCCGCGGCCUAUCAGCUUGGUUGGUGGGGUGANGGCCUACCAAGGCGACGACGGGUAGCCGGCCUGAGAGGGCGACCGGCCACACUGGGACUGAGACACGGCCCAGACUCCUACGGGAGGCAGCAGUGGGGAAUCUUGCGCAAUGGGCGAAAGCCUGACGCAGCGACGCCGCGUGAGGGAUGACGGCCU